UAAACAGACCCGAUGUGUUUGGUCCGGAGUGGUUUUUGAGGGCUGGCUCGAAAUCAGCCCCUCAAAGAUGUCUCUGUCUUCCAGCGCUGGCCCUACAAAUCCAUCACUUGGCUGGAAAAGCUCUCGGUCAGGAACAUGCUCCCAAGAGGAAGACGUGGAGAUUGAGUAAUAAGGCAAGCCUGCUAAAGGCCAUCGGUAGAUAUGUCCUAGAGGAAGACAUUAUAUAUCUGCAUAUAAUUACCUGUGGCAAACCUGACAAGAAUUAAAUUUGCGUCACCUUGCAUUGCACCAGUAGAAAACCCAAAAGAACAGCUUCCAGUGCAAUUUGCCACUGAACGCACUUCAGAUAACACAUAAACUCACUGAAAUGAGGCCAAAAGUUUAUGGAAGAUUUACAUCUUUGAUGUUCUGGUUCGACGUAAGUGGCAGAGUGAUCCAGAGAAACGCUGCACUGCAAUAUCUCUUCAUUGCUGAGGACCUACAGAAAAGGAACAAAGAAAUGUAAACUAGGACCCCACCUACACGACUGCUGCUGUGAGAAUUGCAAUCGUUAGGCCAGUCCAGGUCAUGAAUGAAAGCUGCAAGCCAUCUUCUGCGAAAUAAUGGGUCAUCGGGUCAAGUCCAAUAAGCAUUAAUGCACAGCAAUUUUCUGCUGCCCCAAAUCCAAAUUGAUACGACAGCUGAAUUGCAACUGUAAUUCAGAGGAAUAGAGAAAACAAAACAUACCCUCGCUGACAAUGAAAGGAAAGGAAAAAAACUGUGCAAAACCACAGGGGGCACCGACUUUGCAAAAACACGGUUGUUCUUGUCAGCUUCCUUUGACUUAGUCUUCUGCCCUCAUCUCCACAAGGAGUGUUUAGAACCAGCGCCCACUAACACUCAAUGAUAUUAGCGCUUAGCCUGGUUUUUGGGCUAUUUCUUACUGCAGUCAUUGAGUAAAACCUUAGUUCUGUUAAACGCUUUCAUUCUUUCAAAGGAAAAAGAAAGGCACAAUAGGGACUAUUACAGAAGUAUCCUGGGGUGACAUUUUAUCCUCCUUCUGUCAUGAGCCGAGAGGUAAAAGAACCAAAAAAAAGAGAAAUGAGCCAUAAAAAAAUGAGCAAAAGAUGACACUCGGAUCAUUGCAUGUCAGAAAUGCCAUACAGGACCAGGAUAUUGUCUUCAGUCAGCAAUGACAUCAGUUUGUCAGUGUCCUCACCAUUGUUCUACCGGGUCCACCAGAGCUAACUGGACACAGCGCUACUCAAUCAUCACCUAUCAAUCACAUUCUAAAAAUAAAGUUCAACCAUCAUCAAGUGACUGAAAUUCUGGACUAUUUUAUAUGCUGGCCGCCCUGUCACUUUAAUCCCCUGCACCACUCCCGUGUCCUGUGCGGUACAAGCUUCUCAGGAAUUCCCUUGGGAUUUGGGUCGUACAGGACCGGUUUGG